GAUGAACGCUGGCGGCGUGCCUAAUACAUGCAAGUCGAGCGAACGGACGAGAAGCUUGCUUUUCUGAUGUUAGCGGCGGACGGGUGAGUAACACGUGGAUAACCUACCUAUAAGACUGGGAUAACUUCGGGAAACCGGAGCUAAUACCGGAUAAUAUUUUGAACCGCAUGGUUCAAAAGUGAAAGACGGUCUUGCUGUCACUUAUAGAUGGAUCCGCGCUGCAUUAGCUAGUUGGUAAGGUAACGGCUUACCAAGGCAACGAUGCAUAGCCGACCUGAGAGGGUGAUCGGCCACACUGGAACUGAGACACGGUCCAGACUCCUACGGGAGGCAGCAGUAGGGAAUCUUCCGCAAUGGGCGAAAGCCUGACGGAGCAACGCCGCGUGAGUGAUGAAGGUCUUCGGAUCGUAAAACUCUGUUAUUAGGGAAGAACACAUGUGUAAGUAACUGUGCACAUCUUGACGGUACCUAAUCAGAAAGCCAAGGCUAACUACGUG
rnacentral:rRNA from 1 species